rnacentral:rRNA from 1 species
AGAGUUUGAUCCUGGCUCAGAACGAACGGUGGCGGCGUGGAUAAGACAUGCAAGUCGAACGGGAUCUUAAUUGUAGCAAUACAGUUGAGGUUCAGUGGCGCAAGGGUGCGUAACACGUGGGCAAUCUGCCCGGGAGCGCGGGAUAGCUCGGCGAAAGUCGAAUUAAUACCGCAUGUGGCUAUUGGAGGAUUCUCCGAGACGCUAAAGUUGGUGCAAGCUAACACUCCUGGAUGAGCCCGCGGCCUAUCAGCUAGUUGGUGAGGUAACGGCUCACCAAGGCUAUGACGGGUAGCUGGUCUGAGAGGACGACCAGCCACACUGGAACUGAGACACGGUCCAGACACCUACGGGUGGCAGCAGUCGAGAAUUUUUCUCAAUGGGGGAAACCCUGAAGGAGCGACGCCGCGUGGAGGAUGAAGGUUUUCGGAUUGUAAACUCCUGUCAUUUGGGAACAAUAGAUCAGUUUAACUGGCUGAUUCUUAAUAGUACCAGAAGAGGAAGGGACGGCUAACUCUGUGCCAGCAGCCGCGGUAAUACAGAGGUCCCAACCGUUGUUCGGAUUCAUUGGGCGUAAAGGGUGCGUAGGCGGUCGCGCAAGUCGGAUGUGAAAUCUCGGGGCUCAACCCCGAAACUGCAUUCGAUACUGCGUGGCUAGAGUGCUGGAGGGGAGACUGGAAUUUACGGUGUAGCAGUGAAAUGCGUAGAUAUCGUAAGGAAGACCAGUGGCGAAGGCGAGUCUCUGGACAGCAACUGACGCUGAGGCACGAAGGCCAGGGGAGCAAACGGGA